AUGGCAAACAAACACUGCUUUGAGGCACUAGACAAAAGCCUUAGGGAUAUUCUAAGGUUCACAAACCAAAACAGUAAUGAAAGGCCAUUCAGUGGCAUGACCGUGGUGCUAGGAGGCGACUUCAGACAAAUACUUCUAGACAUAACAAAGGGAAGGAGAGGACAGAUAGUAAAUGCCUCAAUCAAAAGGUCAUACCUAUGGAAGCACUUCGAAAUUUUUAGCCUAACUGAAAAUAUGCGGUUGAAGUGCGUGUCAGAAGAUCCAAUACAAAAGCAAAAUGUGGCUGAAUUUGCAGAAUGGAUAUUACAAAUUGGCGACGGAAAAAGAACAAACGAUGAAGGGGAUGAUUGGGUAAAAAUACCUAAAGACAUAAUUCUACAUAAAGGAGAAGACCCCAAAGAAGAGAUAGUCAAAAGCACGUACCCAAACUUGCAACAAAACUACCGUGACCGUGAAUUUCUCAAAGAAAGAGCAAUACUAUGUCCAAGGAAUGAAACAGUUGAGAAGAUAAAUGACUACAUAAUGAGCCAAAUACAAGGGGAAGAGGUGACAUACCUAAGCUUGGACACUGUAUGCAAGGCAACAAUGAAGUACAACACAAUGGAGAAUAUGUGUCCAACAGAGCUUCUUAACAACAUGACCAUCCUAGGAAUUCCAAACCACGAGCUAAAGCUGAAGGUAGGUUUGCCGGUGAUGCUCCUACGCCAUCAAUCAAGCAGCAGGUUUAUGCAAUGGUACAACAAUGACUAUUACACACCUGGGAAACAGGUACAUUGA
rnacentral:rRNA from 1 species